AUGUGGUGACUUCUUUUUCAAUAAUUUUUAAUUCUUUUUCAGUUAUGUCUUUUGGACUGACAAGUGACCAAAGAUUUACUGUUGAUACAUUCACAGGACAAAAUCCAGCACAGUAUCCCCAAGACACUGUCUUUCUGUAAAUGUAUUUAUUUGUUGUCUUGGAGUCAGAAACAUGAAUUGUAUGUCGACUGUUUGCAAGUAUCAGUUUUUGUCUGAUGAGCUCCUAACGCAGAAAUCAUCGUUGCUAUUGUUGAUGCAAUCAACAUCAUUAUCGCGAAAUUCGCGCGAUGCGAAUGAACUUUUCAUACAGUGCUUGAUAAAGUGGGGAGGGUCAUCAUGUGUCUAUAUGUGAGAAAGGAAAAAAGGACGAAGAGAAGGCUGAAAGUUUGUAGGAGACGUGGGUGACAAGAAGGCAACUAAACGAAACCUGCUGAGUGCACUAGCAAAGAUAUUUGAUCCGUUAGGAUUAAUUAGCUGCGUAUUAGUUUUGAUGGAAAUCUUGUUUUAACAGUUGUGCGUAGAAAAGAUUGAUUGGGAUGACGAAAUAAGCGGAAAGUGAUCCCACAGUUUUUGGCAACCUACUACCAAGUGAAGAAUGUGUUUGAGCGCUCUGUGCGCAAUAAAGUCAUGAAAGGACAACUGCUACAAGCCAGCUCAUGGUGGCUGAACACAAUUUAAAGGAGUUUCUUAUUCGGGAUUUGCAUUGGACAGUAGCUGAAAUUUGUGCAGUCUUCAAAGACUUUUUCAAUAUAGUCGACUAGUAAACAGUGAUGCAAAGAGGCACGAAAUGCCGUUUCAAAAUACAGUUCAACACCUGAAUACAUCGUGGAUGCUGAGGAUGUUGUGUUGGCCAGCGGUUGCUCUGGAGCAAUCGAGAUAGCAUUAAACGCCCUAGUUUAUCAUGGUGAUAACAUCCUAAUUCCAAGACUUGGUUUCUCUCUUUACAAAUUGAUCUGUGGAUCGAGGAGGAUUGAAGCACGAUCUUAUAAGCUCUUUCCUCAAAUUAGUUGGGAAGCCGAUUUGGACGAUAUGGCUUCACUUAUUGACGAGAGAAGAAAGCUUAUGGCUCUGUGUACAAAAGAGAACAUUUGGAAGAAGUUUUAAACAUUGCUGAAAAAUACAGCGUCCCAGUUCUCUGUGAUGAAGUUUACGCGCAUGUCAAGUACUUCAAAUUAUUCAACAACAAAUGUUUAAUAAUGGGAUGCCUUUACUUGACAUGGCAGCGCUUGGGGGUAACAAGUUCAAAGUAGUAGGUCAACUGAUGGCUAGUUCAAUUGUGCAAGGUGGACCAGCACCGUGUUUCUUUUAAGACAAAGUUUAUGCGUAUAUGACUGAAGGUAUUUCAAGUAUGACAACUGAAGCAUGGAUUCCAGAAGUAAAGGAUAUUACGCUUGUUGAAGCUAUAGAGAAGAUUGCAAAUUGUUCAACCGACGAACACUUACAAAGAGUGUUGCAAGAAGACGCCAUGUUGCAUGUUUUGCAACAGAUUCACUACAUGGGAGUGCCAUCAAGAGAAUCAUUGCAAUCUGCUAAAAACAUCUUAAGGUACGCUAUGUUUAAAUCUUUAAAAACGAAAUGAUUUACAAGUUCUGCAUAGUGUAAGUCAUUAACCCUUUAAGGGCCAACUUCUUUUUGUUUGACUUUAACAUGGCUUAGUGAUUGUGAAAAAUACGAUCUCAGAGUUUUACUCUUAUAUGAUUUUUACUACC